UCAGAAUACAUCAGAGACAGUGUUUUUCUUUUAGGAGAAUAUGCUGUAUCAACAUUGCUAAGUAUUCUGCUCAUUAUAGGUGCAGCCAAGAAAUGUUUGGUUCUUUUGGCACCAUGGUUGAUAGCUGCCUGCGCCGGAACAAUAUUUAUGGUCUAUGUGGGUGGCACAGUUUUUUUGUUCAUUCCCUUUGAUGAAAUAGGAUUUCUACUUCCUAUCUUGGGAGUUUCAGGUGUUAUUACCUUGAUUUUGUUUCCUGUGUUUGCAUUAUUUUGCGAAAUAUAUCUUGAAAAUUGCAAGAAACGAAAAC